GUGCCAGCAGCCGCGGUAAUUCCAGCUCCAAUAGCGUAUAUUAAAGUUGUUGCAGUUAAAAAGCUCGUAGUUGAACCUUGGGCCUGGCUGGCCGGCCCGCCUCACCGCGUGUACUGGGCCGGCCGUUACUUUCCUUCGGGGCACCCUCCCGCCCUUCGCUGGGCGUGUUGAAAAACCAGGUCUUUUAUUUUAAAAAAAUUAGAGUGUUCAAAGCAGGUCUUUGCUCAAAUACAUUAGGAUGAAAUAAUAGAAUAGGGCGGGUGGUUCUAUUUUGGUGUCUUCGAGCACCGCCGUAAUGAUUAGGAGGGAUAGGCGGGGGCAUCAUUAUUCCAUCGGCAGAGGAGUACUUCUUGGAUUGAUUGAAGACUAACUACUGCGAAAUCUUUCGCCAAGGAUGUUUUCAUUCAUCAGUGAACGAAAGUGAGGGGAUCGAAGACGAUCAGACACCGUCGUAGUCAUCACCCAUAAACUAUGCCGACGAGGGAUCGGAGGGUGUUAGUAUUUUGACCCGGCGCCCUCAUACGAAAAACAAUGUUUGUUGUCUUCUGGGGGGAGGUGCUCGCGAGGCUGAUACUUAAAAUAUAUUGACGGAAGCGCCACCACCGGGCGUGGAGCCUGCGCAUUAUUGUGACUCAACGCGGGAAUACUCAGGGGCGUGAGACACAAGGAGUGAUUGACAGAUUGAGAGCUUCUUUCAUUGAUGUGGUGGGUGGUGGCGCCUGCCUGUUCUUAGGUGAUGGAGUGAUUUGUCUGCUCAAUAACAAAAACGAACGACACCUUAUCUGCUAAAUAGCCCGCCUUGCUGUGGCGCGUCGCCUGCUUCAUAAAUGACUAUCCGCCUCAAGCGGAUGGUAGUUGAAGCCAUACUCUU
rnacentral:rRNA from 1 species